CCAGGCAAGCCUUGAAGUCACUCUCCAAAGGAAUAUAUGGGUGGCACAGGGGAAUAUCUGUGCCAUGAUGUAUAGUCCAUUUCCAUAACACUAGAGAUUAUUUUGGGCCUUGAGUUCAUGCUUGCAUUUUCUGAUAGCUUCUCAGAGUCUUAUGGAUGAUGACUGAGUAGACAAGUCAUGCAGGAAACAUCU
rnacentral:snoRNA from 1 species